rnacentral:rRNA from 1 species
UCCUACGGGACGCAGCAGUAGGGAAUCUUCCACAAUGGACGAAAGUCUGAUGGAGCAACGCCGCGUGAGUGAAGAAGUAUUUCGGUAUGUAAAGCUCUAUCAGCAGGGAAGAAAAUGACGGUACCUGACUAAGAAGCCCCGGCUAACUACGUGCCAGCAGCCGCGGUAAUACGUAGGGGGCAAGCGUUAUCCGGAUUUACUGGGUGUAAAGGGAGCGUAGACGGCGUAUCAAGUCUGAUGUGAAAGGCAGGGGCUCAACCCCUGGACUGCAUUGGAAACUGGUAUGCUUGAGCGCCGGAGGGGUA